ensembl:processed_transcript
ACUUCUGCCGGGGCGUGCGCUCGCCGGCUGGAGUCCCACCUCUUGCUGCUGUCCGGUGAGACUCCUGGGACGAAUCCAUUCUUUCUCCCACUUCCUCUCCAGCAGGCACUGUGAGUCCUCCGCAAAAGAAUGUGCAGGAUCAGAGGCCUCUUUCCAUUCCGCAAGGGUCACGCAAGACCCAUGGAAUUCAACAGGAGGCCAUCUAGGGACUGUAAAAGGUCGCGACGUCUGGCUUGAGGUUAAUGGAAGUUACAAAGGGUCAAAAGCCGACAGUGAGCGCUACCAGGCCGCCCUGAGGGCUCAGGAUAGUUUCCCACCUACUCAACUGUAAUUAGUAAUCUGGGGAGAGUAAAAAGCUACUGGCGUGGGACUUAGAAUACAGGAUGCCACAGGCUGAAGAAGAACCUCGUGUGUUUGGAAAAGCGGGGUGCUUCCUAUCAGUCUUGGAUAAAAGGCAGCCCAGAACCCGGGUGCAUCCCUAACUCAUGCCCAAGGAAGGUCGUGCGGAGCCAGAGGACCUAGAAUGGAUAGUGCGCCUCCUGGGUUUUCCCACCUAAUAGUGCAGGAACACAGAGACCCAAUAGUGAGAAGUGGAUUCAGCGCGCACCCUGAGACCCUUCUCGGGGCGGGCCGUUAGGAGCCCGCCUACUUAGCCCUGCUACCACGGUAAGCCUGGAAUGUCAAAUAUUUGCUCUAGGAACCCAGUGAAACCUUGAGGUAAAGCCCCUCCCCUCCUCCCUCCCAUUCCGGAGCGCGCCUGCGUCAGUCAAGGUUUUCCGGUAGGACACUCCCUUCCUACUAGUUCCUUCUCGCCACCCCUGCUACCCCUCGUCCUGGCUUUUUAAACUUCACAAGGUCUUUGCUACGGGCUCCGGUUCAGUGAGGCAGAGUCUUGGCGUCCCUACACAGUUAUCCCAGAGCUACCGGUAUUCGUUUCUACCCACAACCUCCGAGCAAGGCUCCCCCUAUUCGUUCAACCUGUAGACC